ensembl:lncRNA
UUGUUUUUCUUACCGUUAAGUUUGGGAGUCCUUGAUUUGAUUUGCAAAUAUUUUGUUUGUAGCUUUUCAUUCUCUUAAUGAAGGGUUUUUGUUGGAACAAAAACUUUUAAGUCAAAUUGAUCGAUUUUUUUUCUUUAUGGAUUGUGCUUUUGAUCUCAAGUCUAAGAACUCUUGACCGAGCUGUAGGUCCUGAAGGUUUUCUUGCUUACUUCUAAAAUUUCAUAGUUUUGCAUUUUACAUUUAAGUCCACAGUACAGUCUGAGUUAAUUCUGCAUAAGAUCUGAGGUUUCGGCUUGGGGUUUUUUUUUUUUUUUUUUUUUUUUUUUUUUUUGAGAGAGUCUUCACUCUGUCGCCCAGGCUGGAUGCAGUGGCGUGAUCAAGGCUCACUGCAGCCUUGACCUCCCAGGCUCAGGUGAUCUCCCACCUCAGCCUCCCAAGUAGCUGGGACUACAGGCACGCACCACCACGCCUGGCUAAGUUUUUUAUAUUUUUGUAGAAGAUAGGUUCUUCUACAAAAGAAGAACCACGUUGCCCAGGCUGGUCUUGAACUCCUGGACUCAAGCAAUCUGCCUGAGACUCAAGCAAAUUCAGCCUCCCUAAGUGCUGGGAUUUACAGGUAUUUUCAUGGUCUUUGUGCUCUUUAAUCACGUUAUUACAACGUGAUUGGGUAUGCAGUAGUUUUUAAAUAAGUCCACAAAUUCUUACAGUCCUCCCUUUAGGAAGUGGAACCUAAUUCUUCUAAGUGUGUGCUGGGUGUAGUGACUUGCUUCUAACAAACAGAAUGUAGCAGAAUAUCACUUCCAAGGCCAGAUCAUAAGCAAGCCCCAUAAUGCUCCCUCCUGCCUUCUCUCUUGGAUUGCCACUCUGGGAAAGCCACCUGCCAUCUCCUGAGAACACUCAGGCCGACGGAGAUGUCCAUGUGGCGAGGCACAGGGGCCACCAAUCAACAACCCCAUGAGUGAUCUUGGAAACAGAUCCUCCAGCCCCAGUCCAGCCUUCAAAUGAGUGCAGCUUUCCAACUGACCCCAAGCUAGACUCACCCAGCUAAGCCACUCCUGAUUCCUGGCCCACAGAAACCGAGGUAAUAAGUGUUUGUUAUUUUAAGCCCCCAGUUUUGGGUAAUUUGUGUGUAGCAACUGAUGAUCAAUGAAAAGUAUGGAAUUUUUUUUAAGUAAAUUUGCUUACUUAGAAUAAACAUUAAAAAAGUGCAUAAAACAUGUAUACAGUUCAAUGAAUAUUCAUAAAGUACAAAUACCUACUUAAUCAUCACCCAGAUGAAGAAACAGAACAUUUGGAUGUAUAUUUCUUCCUAUCAACCUGCUUGAGACUUGGUGGUCUUCUUGAAUCUGUGAACUGGUGAUUUUCAAAAGUUCUGGAAAGUUCUCAGCCACUGUUUUUAAAUAUUGCUUCUGACUCAUUUUCACUGUUUUGUUUUGUUUCUUUCCACCUGGGACUCCAUCGUUUUACAUUGGAUCUCUUCAUUCUAUUCUCCAUGUCUCUCAGUCUCUUGCUUUACAUUAUCACUGUUUAUCUUGCUGGGCUGCAUUUUGGAAAACUUCAGAUCUAGCCUCCCAUUCACUAAUUAUCUCUUCACCUUUGUCUAAUCCACAGAUACAAGGUUUUUAAUUGCCGUAAUACACUACAGUAGUAUAUAGUCACUCCUUAUCCAUGUGGGGGGAUGUUCCAAGACCCCCAACCCCAGUGGAUGCCCGAAAUGGUGGCGAGUACUGAACCCUAUAUAUACUGUGCUUUCUCUUACACAUACAUACAUAUGAUAAAGUUUAAUUUAUAAAUUAGGCACAGUAACAAAUUAACAAUAACUAAUGAGAAAAUUAUAAAAAUAUACACUAAUAAAAAUUAUGUGAACGUGGUCUCUCUCAAAGUAUCUUAUUGCAUGUGAUAGUUUUGGGCAUGGUUGACAACAGGUAGGUAGCUAAAACCACAGAAAGGGAAACUGGAGACGCAAGGGGUGGGGGGCAGAUUACUGUAUCUUUUAUUUCCAGAAUAUUGGUUUGGUUCUUUUGCAAAUCUGCUAUUUUCACAUCUUUUAGUUCUUAAAUAAUUUUUAAACAUAUCUAAAUUCCAUG